AUCACAUUAACGAUGGCUCCAUUCUAAUCGAGUGUCCCAGAAAGCCAUGACAGUGUGACAGUGAGCUAACAUGCACAAUAACAUCAUUGCGCCAUCAUUUAUGUUAUUAUUUACACCUGUGCUUUAUACUGUCAUCUGUCAAAAUGUCUGCAGCUGCAAUGGUACAGCAGGCCUGUCGUAACAAUCUCAUCAGUCAGUGAUGAUGAGCUCUGAUUAUCUGUCUUUAAAGCUUUAAAGGAAAAUUCUGAGCUGGACAUAUUUUUUAGAGCUUCACCUACAAAGACCACCCACAGUAAGGGCCCAUACUUGGUGAGUGUGUACGGUCUGUCUGAAAGUAAAGCAGACCAUACCUACUGGAAGCUGCAGUCCAAGACACCAGAUGGCAAAAUCACAGAUGUUAAAUUUGGUAUGGGAAGUUACACCCAAAAAGAAAAUGAGGAAAUUAUUCUUAAUUUUUCAAAGUAUUAAUGAUUUAUCCCACGUCGACUAUAUUAACAUGGGAUCAGAGCCAGCGUUGGAAUCGACUGUAUGACAAUAUAUUUCAUUGGUGAACAAUCAAAUGACAUGCAUCUGUGUUUGUUGUUGAGUGACAGUGAUAUUUCAAUAAAAUAC